CCUACGGGGGGCUGCAGUGGGGAAUAUUGCACAAUGGGGGAAACCCUGAUGCAGCGACGCCGCGUGAGUGAAGAAGUAUUUCGGUAUGUAAAGCUCUAUCAGCCGGGAAGAAAAUGACGGUACCUGACUAAGUAGCCCCGGCUAACUACGUGCCAGCCGCCGCCGUAAUACGUAGGGGGCAAGCGUUAUCCGGAUUUACGGGGGGUAAAGGGAGCGUAGGCGGCUGAGCAAGGCUGGAGUGAAAGCCCGGGGGCCAACUGCGGGACUGCUUUGGAAACUGCCCGGCUAGAGUGCUGGAGAGGUAAGCGGAAUUCGUGGUGUAGCGGUGAAAUGCGUAGAUAUUAGGAGGAACACCAGUGGCGAAGGCGGCUUACUGGACAGUAACUGACGUUGAGGCUCGAAAGCGUGGGGAGCAAACAGGAUUAGAUACCCGGGUAGUC
rnacentral:rRNA from 1 species